AUAUCAAUAAGCGGAGGAGAAGAAAUUAACUAAGAUUGCCCUAGUAACGGCGAGUGAAGCGGCAAGAGCCCAAACUGGAAAUCUUGUACACCCCGUGUGCACGAAUUGUAAUCUAGAGGAUGCUUACUCACCGGGCGGUGGCGCAGAAGUGCCCUCGAACGGGCCGCCAGAGAGGGUGACAGCCCCGUAUGUGGUGCCGCUGCCUAACGAGUGGGUGUUCAAAGAGUCGGGUUGUUUUGUACUACAGCCCUAAGUGGGAGAUAAACUUCUUCUAAGGCUAAAUAUAUAUGGGAGACCGAUAGCGCACAAGUA
rnacentral:rRNA from 1 species